CUCUGGUGACUCUCCUGACUAUCUUCCUGCAUCAGCCGCCACCGGCUCUACACGUGACGGGCAGUCUCUCUGGAAAGAGGGGAGCUGCUGUGAGAAUAAAGCCAAGGCACGGGGAUAACCGUGAAAGCUUGAACCUCUUCCCUUUCAGGCAGUAAGGACUUGACAAAUUAAUAGUUAUGUUGAUUGUUUCUAGGAUAAAAUACCGCAGUUCACUGGCUCCAUCAUGUAAUGCUAGAUUGUGCUGGGUCUUGUUACCAGACUUACAUGUGUGUGCAUGUUCAUCUCUUUCUGAACAGGCGGGUUCUGCACUGGUGAGACAUGUUACAAGGAGGGUCCCUGAUCAGAAUUGCUCACAUUGAUGAAUUUUGUUAAGUGAUUCAGCCUAAGUAAAGGCAUUGUUUCUGUUUGAAGACAUUAAUUAGAGAAGAACUAAAUUCUGCAGAGAAAAGUUAAUUGUGAAGAGAAAUAAAUGGUACAGCAACCCUGAA